rnacentral:rRNA from 1 species
UGGGGAAUAUUGGACAAUGGGCGCAAGCCUGAUCCAGCCAUGCCGCGUGAGUGACGAAGGCCUUAGGGUUGUAAAGCUCUUUUGGCGGGGAAGAUAAUGACGGUACCCGCAGAAUAAGCUCCGGCUAACUUCGUGCCAGCAGCCGCGGUAAUACGAAGGGAGCUAGCGUUGUUCGGAAUCACUGGGCGUAAAGCGCACGUAGGUGGGCAGUUAAGUCAGGGGUGAAAGCCCGAGGCUCAACCUCGGAAUUGCCUCUGAUACUGGCUGUCUAGAGUUCGAGAGAGGUGAGUGGAAUUCCUAGUGUAGAGGUGAAAUUCGUAGAUAUUAGGAAGAACACCGGUGGCGAAGGCGGCUCACUGACUCGAUACUGACACUGAGGUGCGAAAGCGUGGGGAGCAAACAGGAUUAGAUACCCAUGUAGUCCCUGAGCGGGCUGGCAAGGCGCAU